CCAGGUGUAGCGUGAAUGCGUAGAUAUCUGGAGGAACACCAGUGCGAAAGCGCCUGCUGGGCCCAUAACUGACGNUGAGGAACGAAAGCCAGGGGAGCGAAAGGGAUUAGAUACCCCUGUAGUCCUGGCCGUAAACGAUGGAUACUAGGUGUUGGUGGUAUCGACCCCUCCAGUGCCGUAGCUAACGCGAUAAGUAUCCCGCCUGGGGAGUACGCCCGCAAGGGUGAAACUCAAAGGAAUUGACGGGGGCCCGCACAAGCGGUGGAACAUGUGGUUUAAUUCGAUGCAACGCGAAGAACCUUACCUGGGCUUGACAUCUACGGAACCCCCUUGAAAGAGGGGGGUGCCGCAAGGAGCCGUAAGACAGGUGGUGUACGGUUGUCGUCAGCUCGUGUCGUGAGAUGUUGGGUUAAGUCCCGCGACGAGCGCAACCCUCGUGGUCUGUUGUUACAGGUCGAAAGAUGCUGAACCCUCAGGCCAGACUGCCGGUGACAAACCGGAGGAAGGUGGGGAUGACGUCAAAUCAUCACGCCCCUUAUGUCCAGGGCUACACACGUGUUACAAUGGGACGGGACAACGGGCAGCUUGGCAGCGAUGUCUGGCAAAUCCCUUAAACCCGCCCUCAGUUCGGAUCGGAGUCUGCAACUCGACUCCGUGAAGUCGGAAUCGCUAGUAAACGCAGAUCAGCACGCUGCGUUGAAUACGUUCCCGGGCCUUGUACACACCGCCCGUCACACCACGGAAAUGGACCACGCCCAA
rnacentral:rRNA from 1 species